AGAAAAUGUGAAUAAGAAAGAAAUUUUAGGAUUUGGAAAAAGAUGAAUGCCAGGUAUUUGAAAAACUGUAUGACCAUGGUAAACACUUUAAUAUACUUGAGAAAUUUUUUUACAUGUUAAUGAACUGCAUCUUUUUUUUUUAAAUAGUGAAUGGAAAUCCAGUCCCUUCCUGGGUGUGAGGCUAGGGAUCCAGAUGUAGUGGAAUUCAUUAUUUGUUGGUCCUGAACCUUUGAGUCUGCUUCUAACUCAGCUUAUGCCAAGGAAACUAGGCCAGGGUGAUGUCUAAGCCAUUGACCAAACCAUCUGGACUAACAAUCAUGGGUGAAAUUCCACCUUGUAAAUGGGACAAGAGGAAUAAAAUAUACCUUUAAGGAUUUAAAAAAAAUGAAAUGUACCCAAAAAAUCCAAUAAAAAAGUUUAAAUUAAAAAUUACUUAGGAAAUACAAAUACUGGGGUGCCAUUCCACAAUCAUGAUGUGUUUCUUCUGUGAUAGCUUACCGGUUAAUUUACUUCUCUAUGACUGUUUUCUUAUUUGAAAGUAAGUAAUGGCAUCAUCUGUGGAGUGGAUGGUGAGAACAAAAGUUUGCCUAACUUGAACAAUCGAUCCCUCCUGAGCUUGUGAUUAACAUUCUCAGCACAGGGAAAUUUCCUGAGGAGAUUAAAAAACAAAAUCCAAACAUAAAACAGGAACAACAACGAUGUAAAAACAUUCUGGACUCUGGGUAUGAAGGCAUGUUACAAGUUUAAUCAGCUUUGUAGGUAUUUCUAAUAAACACACAAAGAAACAAAAAUCCUAUCACAGUACUAGCAGUUGCAUCCAACAAAGAGAGAGCUGUGAGGUAGUGCAUGCUGCUUCUUUCCCCAGAUACCUCUUGGCCUCAGGCCUGCACCCAGUGAGCUGGACCAAGAGCAGCCAGGUUGAAAUUCCUGAUGCCAUGGCAGGAUUCUGCAGGACCAUUUCCCUUUGACAACAAGGAACCUGUGUGGAGGAGACCUCUUGGUGAGUCCUCAAGGACUCUACAUGUCCUAUUCUACAGGGAGAAGCCCUGUCAGGUCUUUGAGCAAGGCCAGCCAGUUGUUUGGGGAAGUCUCUGGUCCUGUGGCAGAGGACGAGGAAUGGCAGAAAGAAUGGCAGCUCCACUGAGAGCAAAGGAUAACCCUUCUAGGCCUGUGACCUCCUAAUUAAUUUAUCUUUUCACCUGAUGCCUUAUUCACAUUUUCUUACUUUCAUACAACUGUGAUCUUGAUGAGCAGCUGGGCUCUUCUUUUCUUAAUCAGUUCUUUGUUGUCACAGAUGUUUUUAACUUACUCCAGCCCCUGAGACUUAUUCACACCUUCUGUAUGCAGUAGGACCCUUGGUGGGCCUGUCAUUUCAAAAAUAGAAGCUUAGGUAAUCCAAAAGAUUGGACUCCAGUUUACCUCAGGCCAGGAAAGAAGUCAGCCACCAUUAGUAAAAGAGCAAGGGAAAAAUUACAUAAGACAAAUAAGUGCCUUAAUCAGAAGAAAAGAUCCUCAACUUCUAAGGCGUGCACAUCUGCACCCCUCUGUUCUGAGCUUUGCAUAGUGAUGUGGUAUAACUCCAGAUGGUAGUAAAAGACAGAGAUAUUCCCAGAAACGUCAAACAUGAUUUUCACCCUUACAUCUGUGAGGUGGGGUGGCAGUAUAGCACACAUCCAGGUGGAAUUAUGACACCUAGGAUAAGAAGACAGAAUCCAUAUAUCACACUGCCAAAUGGACACCCUCCUGAACUUAUGGACCCAUUAAAAUUGAGCUUCAACCUGACCUCAGGCCAUUCCACUCCCUUCCCAUCCUCCUGAUUCUUAUGUUUGCUAGAAGUAAAAGAUCAUGGUGCAGCCCCCAAUAUUCUCAUGCCUAGACUUGACUAUUCAGGAAGAAUGAUAAUGGAGAAGGGAUGGCUAUGUGGUUACAAUGUAGUAACACAAGGUCCAGGUUGACAUUUGCUCACUGAUGUCCAAUUUAAUUGUCUUGUUAUAUUUGAGAAAGGGAGGAUGUCCUUCUUAAUAUAUAAAAGGGACAGAAAUUUAUUAUUUUAUAUGUGCCCUGUAGUUGAUCCCUAUGUUUCCAAGAAAAAGGAGUUUGUAUUGCAAAAAAAUAGGAUUAUAGACCAUUGAUUUUGUGAAAUACAUGGAUAUGUAAAUGGAAACAAUGUCAGCUGUCAAGGACUGCAGAGUAAGCAAAUAUUUCCAGGUUUUAUACACUCAGAGGUAUAGAAGAAAUAUAUUGGCCUCCAGAAAAAGGGAAAACCUUAGGAAUCGAAACAUGUUUCACAUGCAUUGUCUCGAGUAGUAGAUUUACUUUUAAGAAAAAUCUCCCUCCUCCUUGGUCCCUAGAGAUUUGGGUGCUAAGAAAAAUCUGUUCUCCAAUUCAGGGUUGUAAGCAACUCUCCCCAGCAAAAGCAUUGUUGACUUCCAAUUAUGCAGAAAGAAAUAUCUAGCUUUGAAAUAGAGGUUGCCCAAUGGUAUUCCCAGUGACACAUGAGCGACUGGAGGAAAGGGUCCCCACAGAAAUUCAUCAGUGUGGGGAAAGCUGGUUAGUAGGUAUGCCAUAGAACUUUCCAGUGACAUCAUCAGUAAGCACUUCACUGGACAAUCUAUUGUAUCUAAGAGAUCCCUAGAAUCUUCUGUGAUGUCACCAGUGUUGUGGUGACACCAACUGCCUUUGGGAUAUUCCUUCAGUUCCCUUUGGGUUCACAAACAGACAUGUUUCGCCAGCUGCUCAGGCUAUUUUGGAAGAAAAGGGGAGAUCAAGGAGAGAACACACCAGGUCAGAGGGAAGCUGACCCCCUCUCUAAUGGAACAGGAAGGAGGAAAUCAUUCUGGGGAAGGAUUGGUUUUGGUAGGAAGGCAUCAUCCCAAAAUGUCAUCAGUCAGCAAGAGGAGCGUCUAAAGGAACUGGAGGAACUCAAAUUUGAAAUCCAGAAGUGUCAAUUCGAGAGGGAUGAACUUUAUCAAAUCCUGGACCUUUAUAUCUAUGAUGAUUGGGACCACAGGUAGUCAUUAUGCCCAGUAACCUGUUCACUCACUUGUGCUCUCUCUCUCUGCUAACCCCAGAUUUCCUCAUAGCACGAGAAGUUUCACCUCUCAUCCUGGAUUUUAAAGAGCCUUGGCAUGCAUUGGCUUGUGAGAUAAGCUAGGUGCUGUGUGUUUAGGGUCAACCUGUUUUGUAGUUGAGCCUGAGGUGGUUGGAGAGGCAUUGGUUCUGUCAGCAGCUGGAAGGACCUGCUCACACUUGCUGCAACUGUGUGUGUGAAUGAAAUGCCUGCAUGUCAUCACUCUUUCCUCUGAAUUUGUUCAUUAUACACUGAUUCUAUGGCACCUCCAUGCAUGUAGUUGGCAUUCUACAUGUUUUUGGAUAUGGGUUGGUAUGUAUGUAUGUGGAAGUAUAUGUGGUGUUUUACUCAGGAUCAGGACGUCUGGGACCUUCGAUGGGGUCUGAGGAUUUUUUGAUCAACAGUUUGCAGGUCAUGAUAGUGAUGAGUAUGUGGAGGCCCACAUAUUCAGCAGAGCACUUUGCUCCUUCUGUAUACCUUGGUGGCACACUGGACUCUCCUGAGGGGAGGAGGUGCUAUAAAUCUUCUUCCCUGUCAAACUUAGUUAUGCCCUCUGGGAAUUCAUGUAACGAUAGAAACCAAGGAUUGAGUAUACCUGCUUUCAAAACAAGAGAAAUGUCAUCACAGCUUUCUCUUGGGCCCAAACUGUGUCACAGACUGGAGGAAUCUUCUUCCUGAACUAGUCAAUUCCAUCAUGCUCACCUGGCCAGCUCUUGAAGGUCAGGUCCCUCCAAUUGGUCCCGUGGCUCUGUUGUCCUGUGCCCAGGAUAAUAAACUUAACCAGUACAAAUACUUUGAAGGAGCAAGUAUGUGUUGCAUACUGAGUUUAAGUAAUCGAGAGAACAGUCUGAUUUCACCUAAUUUGUGUCACCUGCUUUGAUCUUUAGUUUUUUAUGUUUUUAACCAUCCAGGGAUUGUUUAUUGUGACCUAGAAAUGGUCACUGUGGUCUUGACCGUUGUUAUUCCCAAAUAGGCCGGUCUCAGCCUUGCCCACUCCUAUAUAGUGAGUUUUUGCAGAACCAUAUCUCCCAGGAUUCCAAGGAGUCCUUAUUUCAAAACAAAUGUUUGCUUAUUUACAUGGAAAUAUUUUCUGUGGAUUGAGUCUCACUGUUGGGUUUUGGUCUGGUUUUUGAGGUUGCCACUUUCUUCCCUUCCACCAUUCCUUGAAUUUGAACUUUUUUAUUAUAUAUUUUUUAUUUACACUUCACCUAAUUCUGAAAUCAUGAGUUCAAAACGUUAUUUGUUCCUUUGGCCAUGACCUAACCCAGGCUGGAUGUCGAAUUGCCAGUACUUCAAUCCGAACAUGAGAUGAGAAUGAUGGCUAUGCAAAUGAUGACCAACUCAAUAAGUGAUGCCAUGGAGAGGUACAAGGAGCUCAUACAAGUGAACAGUUCUUACCGCAUCAGGCACUCACAGCUCCUGCGUGAACAAACUCAAUUGGAGAACAAUAUACAGAUUUUGCUGAAUGAGAAGAAAGAACAGCUGGUGGAGCAGACUGAACUGCCAGCAUCCUCUGAGGAGAUAAAGAGGUUCUGCGAAGAGGCCGGAAUGAACAUCUGUGACCCCAGAGCCAAGCAACAGCAGGUCUGAAAUUCUCCAGCAGAAACUAGAAUAUGACACAUACCAGGACAAGAUCUCCCUUGGUGAGAAGUGCUACAGGAGGAGAACUAAGUGUGCACAGCAAAUACACCACUAUUGCGUCUCAUCUGUAAUGUCCAUAGCAAUUGUGGACUGCAUUUUCCUCCUUUAGUUUGAUUUCUUUGGAUUGAAUAUGUUGUAUUUUCACCUCGCCUCUCUCCAGCAAGUGUAAAUUUUUGGAGGGACCCAGAGAAGUGCUGAUGCACAUCAGUCAAAAGCUGCUGGUCAUCCAGAAAGACUGUGCACGUAUAAAUUUGUACUUGUCCUGAUGGGUAUCCAGAAGAGUUUCAUGGAGAUCAGUUCACAACAUUGGAAAGACUUUGAGACAAAGUCUGUAAUAUCAUUUAUACUCAAUAUUGGAUGGCUUCUUCCUUAAUACCCCUACUCCAACAAAAGAGACCUACUUCCACUCCUCUUGAAAAGAUCAUUACCACCAAUAACUGCUUGUCUACUAUGUCUCCAAGGCAAGCCACAGGCUAUAAGUCUAUUCUGCAAAAGGAGCAGCAAAAGAAUGCUUAGAGCAAUUCCUCUAUUUAAAGUUUGGUUGAGUUUUGAUUAUAUUGGUUUUUUGGUUUUCCUUCUAUUCAUUUGAAGAUUUGUUAUUUAUGUCUUGUUAUUUUGUUCAUUUGCUUUUCUAUUUUGAUAAAGAUAUAGACUGUAUAUAUUGACUACCUGCAUCUGGUUACUAUCAAGUAAAUUGGAUGUAUUCUGGUGAAUAAAGGAGUAAUUUCAAACUCUU